rnacentral:rRNA from 1 species
CAGCAGCCACGGGAACACGGAGGGGGCUAGCGUUGUUCGGAAUUACUGGGCGUAAAGCGCGCGUAGGCGGCUUUGUAAGUCAGAGGUGAAAGCCUGGAGCUCAACUCCAGAAUUGCCUUUGAGACUGCAUCGCUUGAACGUCGGAGAGGUGAGUGGAAUUCCGAGUGUAGAGGUGAAAUUCGUAGAUAUUCGGAAGAACACCAGUGGCGAAGGCGGCUCACUGGACGACUGUUGACGCUGAGGUGCGAAAGCGUGGGGAGCAAACAGGAUUAGAUACCCCUGUAGUCCCUGUCUCUUAUAC